ensembl:snRNA U6 U6 spliceosomal RNA
AGGCCUUUUCUUCAGUGGCAUAUAGACUAAAACUGGAAUGAUACAUAGAAGAUUAGUGUGGCAUCCUCAAGGCUGACAAGCAGUUUUAGGAAAGCACAUAAGGGGAU